rnacentral:rRNA from 1 species
UUAUGGCUCAGGAUGAACGCUAGCGACAGGCUUAACACAUGCAAGUCGAGGGGCAUCACGGGAGUAGCAAUACAACUGGUGGCGACCGGCGCACGGGUGAGUAACGCGUAUGCAACCUACCUAUCAGAGGGGAAUAACCCGGCGAAAGUCGGACUAAUACCGCAUAAAACAGGGGCACCGCAUGGUGAUAUUUGUUAAAGAAAUUCGCUGAUAGAUGGGCAUGCGUUCCAUUAGGUAGUUGGUGAGGUAACGGCUCACCAAGCCGACGAUGGAUAGGGGAACUGAGAGGUUGGUCCCCCACACUGGUACUGAGACACGGACCAGACUCCUACGGGAGGCAGCAGUGAGGAAUAUUGGUCAAUGGGCGGGAGCCUGAACCAGCCAAGUCGCGUGAAGGAAAGAAGGAUCUAUGGUUCGUAAACUUCUUUUGCAGGGGAAUAAAGUGCAGGACGUGUCCUGUUUUGUAUGUACCCUGAGAAUAAGGAUCGGCUAACUCCGUGCCAGCAGCUGC